rnacentral:rRNA from 1 species
AUGUCGUGGAAUGUCCGCGGCCUCAACCAGCCGGCAAAACGAGCGGCAAUCUGCGAGGUAGUCACCGCCAGCAAAGUAGCGACCCUGUGCUUGUAGGAAACCAAGAUCGACAUUUCGACCCCAACCAUCGUCAGAGAAAUUGGGGGCACUGCCCUUACUGAAUGCAUAGUCCUCCCCGCAAUCGGCUCCCGCGGUGGCGCAACCAUUUUCUGGAGCAGAGACCUGGCCACCAUCGCCUCUCACGCUGUAGGCGAAUUCGCGAUCACUGCAAAGGUGACGCUCCUCCAACAAUCCUCGAGCUUCUGGCUAACGACUGUCUACGAACCAACUGAAGACAGUAGAAAAGCUGAUUUCCUCGACGAGUUAGCUAGGGUGCCCUCCUCCUUCUGA